GUUGCGUCUGGGUUGGAGAAGGUUGGCCGGGCGGGGGAUGGGUCUGAGGGUCUCAGAGGGUGAGGAGGGCACCUGGGAAGUGGCCCCUCUGAGUGCUGGAGCUUUACUGCUUGUAAAAGUGACAGUUGACUUGGCAGCACCCACAGAGGACACAUCACCAGCAAAUGUUUGCCCAAUCCGGCUGCUCGUCUCUCCAGCUCCUCCCUGAGGGGUGCUCAGUGGUGGUGGCCGUGGUUGGCCUUUCCAGGUGAGGCCCUGCCAGGCCAGGAAAGGCCCAAGUGGGAGCUCACCAAGCCCUUCAUGUCCCCAUAUAUACCUUGAAAACCCAGCAGAGUCAUCUGCUGCGGUUGUAGAAACUGCCUUUUAGAAUGGCACAUUUGCUGACUCUAAAUGUCUGGGUCGUGAUGCAACUUCUUGCUGCAGCAGCUGCGUGGACCACAGGUUAUCACACUUAUCAGGGUCCCUCACACAGUGAGGUACCUGUGACACUCGAAAGGGACUCCCAAAAGGGGUUACAGGGAGGGAACUAGGAGCUCGAGGAGCUGCCUGGGAGUCAGGGGACCGGGGCUCAGAAAACAAAGAGGGACCAAGGGAGGGAGCCUCGUUAGCCAAUGCCACCACUGGGCUGCAGCACCGCUGGACUCAGCCCCUGCUGCCAUUACUCAGCUGUAGGCUCUGCUCCUGGGGGAGCUCCCACUGUCCAAGCCUGGUCUGUGCUCUGCACCCCAGCUGCCCAGGAGAGGGGGAGGUGAGAGCUGGAGCCCUUCAGCCUCUGAAGUGAGAGGAAAGGCCCUGCACAACGCGGAUUGCCCCCAGUGGGAAGGCGGUGUGGACGCUGACAGCCCACCAAGUGUUCACAGCUACUGAGAGCUGUGAAGGGUCUUCAACAGGAGCAGCCGGACCACAUAAGCUUCUGAAGUUGCCCCCUGGCUGGGGAUGAUGUCGUGGGGUGGGGCUGGCAGCCACAGCCAGAGCGUGUUUUCAAUUGCCAGGUGUGAGGCUGAGAAAGACAUGCUGAUGGGAGGCGGGCAGAGCCACUGGGGAGCCGGCUGUUCCUUUUGCGAGAGCAGCAGGGACUCAGAUACUGGCAACAGAAGGUUUUUGUUUGUUUAUUUACCUCUUAAACACUGAAAAAGAUGUACAGUAAAGGUGUGUAAAACGAAAGGCCUCCUUCACUCUUCCCCAUCCCCCCCUCACCAGGCCGUGUGUCCUGACCGGUCCUCCUAUACAUUUUCAAACUGAUGUGUAAACCGUAGGUCAGGUUUCGGUUGGUCUCUUUUUGUAACUGGAAUUGUGUUGUAUAUGUUGAUCUGUGAUAUGCUUGUUGAAGAUGUUUCCAGUCCUGCAUACUCCUUUUAGCCACUACAUAACAUUCCAUAGAAUCAGUGUUCACCAUCUCUUUUUUCUAUUAUAACCAGAUGAUCUUACUGAAAGUUACGGAAAACAUAGCCAGUGAAUUGAAAGGGCCUUGCUUAAGACGCCACUGAGAGUCACCAGAAGAUCCAGACCGAUGCCCCAGUCCUCACCUUGAUGCUUUUUAUAAUUCUACCCCCUUAACAGCCAUCCUAGGACGACACGCUCUGAAAAGAGUGACUUUCCCCCUUCCCUGUUUGGGUCAUUUAUUUCUUGCAGUUCUGUCCCACCUUUGAAAAUGUUUUUAUGUUUUGUUUUUGGCUGUGCCAUGCAGCUUAUGGGAUUUUAGUUCCCCAGCCAGGGAUCGAACCCGGGCCCUCAGAAGUGACAGUGAAGAGUCCUAACCACUGGACUGCCAGGGAAUUCCCCCACCUUUGAAAAUGCUUCGAUCCCUCUCAGGUUGAAUCCCCAUAAAAUCCCCGUGAGUUGGGAGGAUGAAAUAUCAGUAUUUUUGUUUUAAAAUUAAAACAAAGUCUUCAUCGGGAGUUCCCUGGUGGUCUAGUGGUUAGGAUUCAGAGCUUUCACUGCCAUGGCCUGGGUUCCAUCCCUGGUCUGGGAACUGAGGUCCCAGAAGCCACGAGGUGGGGUUAAAACUCAAACCAAAAACCAAAGCAAAAACAAAGAAGGUCUUGAUCAAAGGGGUUCAUUGGCUUUUCCAAAAGCAUUUGGGAAUGCCCUCCAGCACCUGCUGGACCACCUGCCAGCUUGUAGCACACUUCUCCAAUCCUGAGUGUACCUGCAUGGAUGUCUUCGAAAGGUGGUUACCUUUUCUUCUAAACAUUAAACACAAUUGGAUGGGAAGCUAGAAAGGGAGAAGGAGAUGAAAGUGGGAAGUUAUGAUUGAGAGAGCUAUGAGCAUUCUCAUUUGGUUUUUCUAUCACUCCCUAAGAAGGAAAUUAAAAAUCUUGAACUUGGGGCUUCCCUGGUGGCGCAGUGGUUAAGAAUCCGCCUGCCAAUGCAGGGGACACAGGUUCGAGCCCUGCUCUGGGAAGAUCCCACAUGCUGCGGAGCAACUAAGCCCGUGCGCCACAACUACUGAGCCUGCGCUGUAGAGCCCACGAGCCACAACUAUUGAGCCCACGUGCCACAAUUACUGAAGCCCACGCGCCUAGAGCCCGUGCCCCGCAACAAGAGAAGCCACCGCAAUGAGAAGCCCGCGCACCACAACGAAGAUUAGUCCCCGCUCGCCACAACUAGAGAAAGCCAGCGCACAGCAACAAAAGACCCAACUCAGCCAAAAAAAAAAAAAAAGAUAAAUAAAUAAAAUUAAAAAAAGAAAUCUUUGAACUUCCCAUUACUGCAGCUGCAACAGUAAAUUCCUGAUGGCUGCUGGAUGAAAGGAGCACCUGAUUUGUUUCUCAUUUCAGCAUUUCCCAUUGCAGGCAUAGUCUCUUACUUGUGCUAAUCUCAUUCAAAAUAUUUUCCCUUCCUAUCUUACUUGUUUUGUUUUUGGCUUUUUUUUUUUUUGGCUGUACCACGUGGCUUAUGGGAUCUUAGUUCCCCGACCAGGGAUUGAACCCUGGCCCAUGGCAGUAAAAGUGCUGAGUCCUAACCACUGCACCGCUGGUGAAUUCCCUCCCCUUUCUAUUUUGAAAAGAAAGUUAGUUUUCUUCCUAUUUUACUUUUCUCUCCCUGAGGCAAUUUCUGGAACAGGAGAAGGUGAGCCUUGAUUGACAGGAUGCCACUUUCUUGCCAGCUGCUAACCUUUCCCUCUGCCCUCAUAUUUCUUUUUCCUACAGUGUUCACCAUCUCGAUGGACGUUAGGGUUGUUUCAUUCUGCUCUAGUUAUGAGCACUUUUGUGCACACGUUUGAGUGCAGGGCUGGGAUUUGAAGGGGAGAGUCUCCGUGUGAAUCCCUGCCCAUCUCAGGGGAAGAAGUGUGACUUGGCAUCCAGCAGGCACCCCACUGCACGCUAAGCCACGUGGGAGAGCGGCUGGCCUGUGGAUUUGGGACUCAAAAAGUCCAGAGGCACCCGUGUGGCCAGUACCUGCAGAGGAACCCAGCUCCUGGAGAAAAUAUGGGAUCGGAUGGCACAAGGAUUCUCUCUGUUGGCCACUGAAGGUUCGAGGUGGCUGUAGACAGUCCUGCCCCACAAAGGAGCUCACCGCCAGCAUGUGGAAUCUUAGUUCCCCGACCAGGGAUCGAACCUAUGCCCCCUUGCAGUGGAAGCACGGAGUCUUAACCACUGGACCACCAGGGAAGUCCCAGGAGCCAGACCUUCUGAUGACGCAGCAAACCCCAGACGUUGAGCGGCCCAGCUAACACAGAGUGGAGCAGAGAUGGGCUGGCCCUGCCCAAGUUGCAGAUUCAUUAACAAAAUAAUACUGUUUUGGGUCACUCUAUUCUGGGGGCGGUGUUGUCUCACAGCAACAGAAAAUGAAACAAAGGACCUAAAGCUGGGGUGACCAACCAUCCCGGUUUGCCGGAAACUGAAAGGUUUCUGGGACUCAAGACAUUCAGUGCUGACACUGGCAGAGUCCAAGGCACACGGAUAAAGCAGUGGUUCUCAAACCUUCAUGUGCAUCGGAAACACCUAGGGAUUUAUUAAAACACAGAUGGCUGGGCCCUACCCCUAGAAUUUAGUGGAUCUAGAGUUGGGUCCAAUCAUUUGCAUUUCUAACAA